rnacentral:rRNA from 1 species
CCUACGGGAGGUAGCAGUGAGGAAUAUUGGUCAAUGGGCUUACGCCUGAACCAGCCAAGUCGCGUGAGGGAAGACUGCCCUAUGGGUUGUAAACCUCUUUUGUCAGGGAGCAACGCCGGCUACGUGUAGCCGUACUGAGAGUACCUGAAGAAAAAGCAUCGGCUAACUCCGUGCCAGCAGCCGCGGUAAUACGGAGGAUGCGAGCGUUAUCCGGAUUUAUUGGGUUUAAAGGGUGCGUAGGCGGAAUGCCAAGUCAGCGGUAAAAUCGCGGGGCUCAACCUCGCUCCGCCGUUGAAACUGGCGUUCUUGAGUGGGCGAGAAGUGUGCGGAAUGCGUGGUGUAGCGGUGAAAUGCAUAGAUAUCACGCAGAACUCCGAUUGCGAAGGCAGCAUACCGGCGCCCAACUGACGCUGAAGCACGAAAGCGUGGGUAUCGAACAGGAUUAGAUACCCUUGUAGUC